rnacentral:rRNA from 1 species
GAUGAACGCUGGCGGCGCGCCUAACACAUGCAAGUCGAACGAUUAAAGCACCUUCGGGUGUGUAUAAAGUGGCGAACGGCUGAGUAACACGUGGGCAACCUGCCCCUUUCAUUGGGAUAGCCACGGGAAACCGUGGAUAAUACCGAAUACUUCGAGACUUCCGCAUGGAAGACUCGAGAAAGCUCCGGCGGAGAGGGAUGGGCCCGCGGCCUGUUAGCUUGUUGGUGGGGUAACGGCCUACCAAGGCAAUGAUGGGUAGCUGGGUUGAGAGACCGACCAGCCAGAUUGGGACUGAGACACGGCCCAGACUCCUACGGGAGGCAGCAGUGGGGAAUCUUGCACAAUGGGCGAAAGCCUGAUGCAGCGACGCCGCGUGCGGGAUGAAGGCCUUCGGGUUGUAAACCGCUUUCAGCAGGGACGAGGCGAAAGUGUCGGUACCUGCAGAAGAAGCCCCGGCUAACUACGUG